rnacentral:rRNA from 1 species
UGGGGAAUAUUGGACAAUGGGGGCAACCCUGAUCCAGCCAUGCCGCGUGAACGAUGAAGGCCUUAGGGUUGUAAAGUUCUUUUGUCAGGGAAGAUAAUGACGGUACCUGAAGAAUAAGCACCGGCUAACUUCGUGCCAGCAGCCGCGGUAAUACGAAGGGACCAAGCGUUGUUCGGAUUUACUGGGCGUAAAGGGCGCGUAGGCGGUUUGUCAAGUCAGUUGUGAAAUCUCCGAGCUUAACUCGGAACGGUCAACUGAUACUGUCAAACUAGAGUACAGAAGGGGCAAUCGGAAUUCUUGGUGUAGCGGUGAAAUGCGUAGAUAUCAAGAGGAACACCUGAGGCGAAGGCGGUUGCUGGGCUGAUACUGACGCUGAAGCGCGAAAGCUAGGGUAGCAAACGGGAUUAGAUACCCUAGUAGUCCCUGAGCGGGCUGGCAAGGCGCAU